GAUUAAUGUUCGUAUACAAGUAUAAGAAAGUUUCUAAAAGUGCUUGCAAGCUUUAAGUCAAAUUUGAAAAAAUAACAAAUGGAAAGUUGUAAGCUUUCAUGACAGCAGCAUUAUAAAUAUAUUUUCGAUAACGGAAGCCGUAGAAUUUUCAAGCUGGGAAGUCUAUAACUAUGAUUCUCGUGAGAGUUUUAGUGCUGCAGAAGACGGACAGAAUGGAUAUCAGAAGAUGCAAUUGUAGUGUUUACUUCUCGAAACCUUAAGAAAAAUUUUCCCAAGCUUUCUUUCUUGCCAUUUUCGGUUCACCCAUAGUUGUAGCUCAUUGGCACAAUACAGCGGUUGUAAGGCCGAUUAUGGUAUACUGUAUAUUGGUAUGGUGGUCAAUAACGAAAAAUAAAUACGCGAAGCUGUCCGGAGGUAGAAGAAAAGGAGACAAUAAAACGUAUUGUAUGCGAAUA